CCUACGGGAGGCAGCAGUGAGGAAUAUUGGUCAAUGGGCGGGAGCCUGAACCAGCCAAGUCGCGUGAGGGAAGACGGUCCUAUGGAUUGUAAACCUCUUUAGGCGGGGAGCAAUGCCGGGCACGCGUGCCCGGCGGGAGAGUAACCGCAGAAUAAGCAUCGGCUAACUCCGUGCCAGUAGCCGCGGUAAUACGGAGGAUGCGAGCGGUAUCCGGAUUUAGUGGGUUUAAAGGGUGCGUAGGCGGAUUUUUAAGUCAGCGGUAAAAUGUCCGGGCUCAACCCGGGCCGGCCGUUGAAACUGGGGAUCUUGAGUGGGCGAGAAGUAUGCGGAAUGCGUGGUGUAGCGGUGAAAUGCAUAGAUAUCACGCAGAACUCCGAUUGCGAAGGCAGCAUACCGGCGCCCGACUGACGCUGAGGCACGAAAGCGUGGGGAUCGAACAGGAUUAGAUACCCCUGUAGUC
rnacentral:rRNA from 1 species